ACUCAAAUGAAUAGACGGGGACCCGCACAAGCAGAGGAGUAUGGGGUUUAAUUCGACGCUAAGCGAAGAACCUUACCGAGGCUUGACAUCUCAGGAAGUUUUGGGAAACCAUUACGUGCCUUCGGGAACCUGAUGACAGAUGCUGCAUGGCCGUCGUCAGCUCGUGUCGUGAGAUGUUGGGUUAAGUCCCGCAACGAGCGCAACCCUUGUCGUUAGUUAUAUUUUCUAACGAGACUGCCCGGGUUAACCGGGAGGAAGGUGAGGAUGACGUCUGGUCAGCAUGGCUCUUACGCCUCGGGCUACACCCGUACUACAAUGGCCACUACAACGCGCUGCCAAACCGUAAGGUGGAGCAAAUCGCAUCAAAAGUGGUCUCAGUUCGGAUUGAGGGCUGAAACUCGCCCUCAUGAAGCCGGAUUUGCUAGUAAUGGCAGGUCAGCCAUACUGCCGUGAAUACGUUCCCGGGUCUUGCACACACCGCCCGU
rnacentral:rRNA from 1 species